GCUUAGCUCAGCUGGUUAGAGCGACGGCCUUAUAAGCCGUGUCUGGCGAGGGUUCGAAUCCCUCAGC
rnacentral:tRNA from 1 species